ACUCAGUUGGUAGAGUACAAAGCUCUUAACCUUAUGGACGUGGGUUCAAGCCCCAU
rfam:Triticum aestivum genome assembly, contig: Triticum_aestivum_CS42_TGACv1_scaffold_112655_2AS